AGCAGCCGCGGUAAUUCCAGCUCCAAUAGCGUAUAUUAAAGUUGUUGCAGUUAAAAAGCUCGUAGUUGAAUUUCGGGAUCAAUAUGUUGGUCGUGCCUUUGGUACGUACUAGCUUAUUGAUUUCUCCCUUCUGACGAACCAUGAUGUCAUUAAUUUGGUGUCAUGGGGAAUCAGGACUGUUACUUUGAAAAAAUUAGAGUGUUUAAAGCAAGCUAACGCUUGAAUACAUUAGCAUGGAAUAAUGAAAUAGGACGUUCGAUCCUAUUUUGUUGGUUUCUAGGAUUGACGUAAUGAUUAAUAGGGAUAGUUGGGGGCAUUGUAUUCAAUUGUCAGAGGUGAAAUUCUUGGAUUUAUUGAAGACUAACUACUGCGAAAGCAUUUGCCAAGGAUGUUUUCAUUAAUCAAGAACGAAAGUUAGGGGAU
rnacentral:rRNA from 1 species